rnacentral:rRNA from 1 species
AGGACGAACGCUGGCGGCGUGCCUAACACAUGCAAGUCGAACGGAGUUACUUGUUAGAUCCCUUCGGGGUGACGAACUUUAACUUAGUGGCGGACGGGUGAGUAACGCGUGAGUAACCUGCCUCUGAGAGGGGAAUAACGUUCUGAAAAGAUCGCUAAUACCGCAUAACAUAUUGAAGUCGCAUGGCUUUGAUAUCAAAGAUUUUAUCGCUCGGAGAUGGACUCGCGUCCGAUUAGCUAGUUGGCGGGUAACGGCCCACCAAGGCGACGAUCGGUAGCCGGACUGAGAGGUUGAUCGGCCACAUUGGGACUGAGACACGGCCCAGACUCCUACGGGAGGCAGCAGUGGGGGAUAUUGCGCAAUGGGGGGCAACCCUGACGCAGCAACGCCGCGUGAAGGAAGACGGUUUUCGGAUUGUAAACUUCUUUUGUCAGGGACGAAAUUUGACGGUACCUGACGAAUAAGCUCCGGCUAACUACGUGCCAGCCGCCGC